UACGUAGGGAACAAGCGUUGUCCGGAUUUACUGGGCGUAAAGGGCACGCAGGCGGUUUCUUAAGUCAGAUGUGAAAGGCCACAGCUCAACUGUGGACAUGCAUUUGAAACUGAGAGACUUGAGUAUUGGAGAGGCAAGUGGAAUUCCUAGUGUAGCGGUGAAAUGCGUAGAUAUUAGGAGGAACACCGGUGGCGAAGGCGGCUUGCUGGACAAAUACUGACGCUGAGGUGCGAAAGCGUGGGGAGCAAACAGG
rnacentral:rRNA from 1 species